UACACGCUGUGACUAGCAUAUCAAUAAGCGGAGGAAAAGAAACUAACAAGGAUUCCCUCAGUAACGGCGAGUGAAGCGGGAAGAGCUCAAAUUUGAAAUCUUGAAAGGUCACCUUUCACGAAUUGUAGUUUAAAGAAGUGUUUUCUGUUACGAUCGUAAUAUAAGUUCUUUGGAAUAGGACAUCACAGAGGGUGAGAAUCCCGUCUAUGAUUGCGAUUUGUAGCUUUGUGAUACACUUUCAAAGAGUCGGGUUGUUUGGGAAUGCAGCCCAAAACGGGAGGUAAAUUUCUUCUAAGGCUAAAUAUUGGCGAGAGACCGGAUAGCGAACAAGUACCGUGAGGGAAAGAUGAAAAGAACUUUGAAAAGAGAGUUAAAUAGUACGUGAAAUUGUCAAAAGGGAAGCGUUUAACACCAGUGUUGUUUUCUGAAAAUCAACCUCUGUUAGCUUUAUGCAUGUUUGUUUAGACCUAAUCAGCUAUCUUGCAUGUUCUAUUGUUUGCAGUGGUGCACUUUUCAGUUUACAGGUCAACAUCAGUUUUUUUUACCGUAAAAAAGUCAAAGAAAGGUAGCUCAUGGCUCCGGUCGUGAGUGUUAUAGUCUUUUUCCUAUGCGGUAGGAGAGACUGAGGUCUGCAGUGUAGGCUAUUUGGCUAGAUACUCAGGUGCUAUGUGAUACCAUUUCAUAAACAACUUGUUGAUUAUGUUUUGUCUAUUGCAUACUCGCUUGUACUAUCAUACCUACGCUUAGGAUGUUGAACUACUGAGACAUAGA
rnacentral:rRNA from 1 species